UACAGAGGUCCCAAGCGUUGUUCGGAUUUACUGGGCGUAAAGGGCGCGUAGGCGGUCAGUGCAAGUCAGUUGUGAAAUCUCCGAGCUUAACUCGGAAAGGUCAACUGAUACUGCUCGACUAGAGUGCGGAAGGGGCAACUGGAAUUCUUGGUGUAGCGGUGAAAUGCGUAGAUAUCAAGAGGAACACCUGCGGCGAAGGCGGGUUGCUGGGCCGACACUGACGCUGAAGCGCGAAAGCUAGGGGAGCGAACGGG
rnacentral:rRNA from 1 species